GUCCCCUACCCAGCCCCGGCCCGGCCCGGCCCGGCCGCUAGGGGACCCUCCUAGGAGGGACCAGCCCCUGCCCCUGCCCGCGUGCGAGGUGUCGGGGUCCCUGGCAGGGUUGGCAGGGGCCGGGGGAUUCUUUUCCGACGCGGAGGCAACAGCAUGAGCAGCCGCGCAACCAGCACUACGUCAUGCGGCGCCAAGGACGAAACCGGGCUCCUCGGCUGCGCGCGCCAUCAGCCGUGCCUGGGCUUCUACCGCCGCCUGCACCUCGGGGUCCCCCCCCCGGGCACCCCCUCGGCUGCGGCACCUCAGGGCUAGAGAGGCCUCAACUAGAGCCCCAUGUCCUUUUUCUGGACCCCAGACUUUCAGAAAGAAGUUGACACAUUGGAGGACGAUCUGAAGAGAGCAACAUGAAUGAGAAGAGGCUUGGAAAACAUGACCAGCACGGAAAGAUGGAGGGCACUGAGUCAGUUUCUUCCCCCAAGCAGAUUUCAGCAUUACAAAACAAGAGAAGUCUCAUUUGGAGCUGGACAGGCCACAAUAACCACCUUCCUGCGUUCACCCAAGCCAGCUGGAGGUGAAUCUGAUUGCUACCAUUCAUCAAAAAGUGCACAGGCUCAGGCCAGUCAUGAGUCAAUCAUGAUGCACCUGAUUCUGGGUGAGAGCUUGCCACUGCGAAUAGUGGAGUCACAAGGAUGUCUCAACUUUAUGCAAACGGUUGAUCCUCGGUACAAGCCUUUGUGCAGGCAGACCAUGAAAAAAGAUGAUCACCCACAAGGCAAACGACCUGAAGUACGAAAUAACUGAGAAGCUUGCAAAAUGUGAAGCUGUCAACACUACACUGAAUUUAUGGACAGAUAGAACGAUGCAAUCUUUCCUUGGUGUAACAGCACAUCAUGGAAGAUGACGGUGAGGGAAUUAAAUUGGCAACAUACACUCUGGCUUGUGAACAUUUUAUGGGUAGGCACACGGGUGACAGGAUUACAUCAGCAUUUGACAAAAUACUUGAGUACUAUAGAAUCAGGAACAAACUUGAUUUUUAUCAUCACUGACAAUGCUUCAAAUAUCAAGAAAGCAUUCACAACAGCUUUCUCAGGGCUGGUGAGGACACUGCAGAGCUGGCAGAAGAUGGGGUAGAGUCAUCCAUUGAUUCAGCAGCUGACCUUGCUGAUGACACUCUUUGGGAGCUGCUAGAUGAUGUGGACCAGCAUGAGUUAGACUCCAUGUUCUUCAACACAACACGGGUGUGUUGUUUGUCAUGUUUCGCCCAUACUCUUCAGGUCUGUGUCAGUGAUGGGCUCAAGGAGUGUAAAGGUAAGAAAAAAAUGUCAGGUUCAAAGUUGAAACUUUGAACCGAUAAUUUCAGAGUAAAUGCUGGCAGCAGCAAAUGCAGUUUUGCAAAAUAAUGAACCAUGAAAGCUGUUAAAGAUGUCAGUGAUCAACCACAGGAAACAUCUUGGCAGCAGUUCUGUGACAACAGCUUAACAAAAAGCGAAAUAAAAUC